UACGUAGGCAGCGAGCGUUGUUCGGAUUCAUUGGGCGUAAAGGGUGCGUAGGCGGCGCGGUAAGUCGGGUGUGAAAUCUCGGGGCUUAACUCCGAAACUGCAUUCGAUACUGCCGUGCUUGAGGACUGGAGAGGAGACUGGAAUUUACGGUGUAGCGGUGAAAUUCGUAGAUAUUCGCAAGAACACCAGUGGCGAAGGCGGCUCACUGGCCCGAUACUGACGCUGAGGUGCGAAAGCGUGGGGAGCAAACAGG
rnacentral:rRNA from 1 species